UACGAAGGGUGCAAACGUUGCUCGGAAUCAUUGGGCGUAAAGCGCACGUAGGCGGCCCUGCAGGUCGGAUGUGAAAUCCCACGGCUCAACCGUGGACGUGCAUCCGAAACUGCUCGGCUCGAGUAUGGAAGAGGGUCGCGGAAUUCCCGGUGUAGAGGUGAAAUUCGUAGAUAUCGGGAGGAACACCAGUGGCGAAGGCGGCGACCUGGGCCAAUACUGACGCUGAGGUGCGAAAGCGUGGGGAGCAAACAGGG
rnacentral:rRNA from 1 species